rnacentral:rRNA from 1 species
UGAACGCUGGCGGCGUGCCUAAUACAUGCAGGUCGAGCGAACGGACGAGAAGCUUGCUUCUCUGAUGUUAGCGGCGGACGGGUGAGUAACACGUGGAUAACCUACCUAUAAGACUGGGAUAACUUCGGGAAACCGGAGCUAAUACCGGAUAAUAUUUUGAACCGCAUGGUUCAAAAGUGAAAGACGGUCUUGCUGUCGCUUAUAGAUGGAUCCGCGCUGCAUUAGCUAGUUGGUAAGGUAACGGCUUACCAAGGCGACGAUGCAUAGCCGACCUGAGAGGGUGAUCGGCCACACUGGAACUGAGACACGGUCCAGACUCCUACGGGAGGCAGCAGUAGGGAAUCUUCCGCAAUGGGCGAAAGCCUGACGGAGCAACGCCGCGUGAGUGAUGAAGGUCUUCGGAUCGUAAAACUCUGUUAUUAGGGAAGAACAUAUGUGUAAGUAACUGUGCACAUCUUGACGGUACCUAAUCAGAAAGCCACGGCUAACUACGUG